AGCAGCCGCGGUAAUUCCAGCUCCAAUAGCGUAUAUUAAAGUUGUUGCAGUUAAAAAGCUCGUAGUUGAAUUUUGGGUCUGGCCGGGCGGUCCGCCCUCUGGGUGAGCACUGUUCCGACGUCGGGCCUAUCCUUCUGGUGAGUCGGCAUGUCCUUUAUUGGGUGUGUCGGGGAACCAGGACCAUUACCUUGAAAAAUUAGAGUGUUCAAAGCAGGCGUAUGCUCGGAUACAUUAGCAUGGAAUAAUGAAAUAGGACGCGUGGUGCUAUUUUGUUGGUUUCUAGAACCGCCGUAAUGAUUAAUAGGGAUAGUUGGGGGCAUUAGUAUUCAAUUGUCAGAGGUGAAAUUCUUGGAUUUAUUGAAGACUAACUUCUGCGAAAGCAUUUGCCAAGGAUGUUUUCAUUAAUCAAGAACGAAGUUAGGGGAUCGAAGACGAUCAGAUACCGUCGUA
rnacentral:rRNA from 1 species